rnacentral:rRNA from 1 species
ACGAACGCUGGCGGCGUGGAUAAGACAUGCAAGUCGAACGAGAGAAUUGCUAGCUUGCUAAUAAUUCUCUAGUGGCGCACGGGUGAGUAACACGUGAGUAACCUGCCCCCGAGAGCGGGAUAGCCCUGGGAAACUGGGAUUAAUACCGCAUAGUAUCGAAAGAUUAAAGCAGCAAUGCGCUUGGGGAUGGGCUCGCGGCCUAUUAGUUAGUUGGUGAGGUAACGGCUCACCAAGGCGAUGACGGGUAGCCGGUCUGAGAGGAUGUCCGGCCACACUGGAACUGAGACACGGUCCAGACACCUACGGGUGGCAGCAGUCGAGAAUCAUUCACAAUGGGGGAAACCCUGAUGGUGCGACGCCGCGUGGGGGAAUGAAGGUCUUCGGAUUGUAAACCCCUGUCAUGUGGGAGCAAAUUAAAAAGAUAGUACCACAAGAGGAAGAGACGGCUAACUCUGUGCCAGCAGCCGCGGUAAUACAGAGGUCUCAAGCGUUGUUCGGAAUCACUGGGCGUAAAGCGUGCGUAGGCUGUUUCGUAAGUCGUGUGUGAAAGGCGCGGGCUCAACCCGCGGACGGCACAUGAUACUGCGAGACUAGAGUAAUGGAGGGGGAACCGGAAUUCUCGGUGUAGCAGUGACAUGCGUAGAUAUCGAGAGGAACACUCGUGGCGAAGGCGGGUUCCUGGACAUUAACUGACGCUGAGGCACGAAGGCCAGGGGAGCGAAAGGGAUUAGAUACCCCUGUAGUCCUGGCAGUAAACGGUGCACGCUUGGUGUGCGGGGAAUCGACCCCCUGCGUGCCGGAGCUAACGCGUUAAGCGUGCCGCCUGGGGAGUACGGUCGCAAGAUUAAAACUCAAAGAAAUUGACGGGGACCCGCACAAGCGGUGGAGUAUGUGGCUUAAUUCGAUGCAACGCGAAGAACCUUACCUGGGCUUGACAUGUAAUGAACAACAUGUGAAAGCAUGCGACUCUUCGGAGGCGUUACACAGGUGCUGCAUGGCCGUCGUCAGCUCGUGUCGUGAGAUGUUUGGUUAAGUCCAGCAACGAGCGCAACCCCUGUUGCCAGUUACCAGCACGUGAAGGUGGGGACUCUGGCGAGACUGCCCAGAUCAACUGGGAGGAAGGUGGGGACGACGUCAGGUCAGUAUGGCCCUUAUGCCCAGGGCUGCACACGUACUACAAUGCCCAGUACAGAGGGGGCCGAAGCCGCGAGGCGGAGGAAAUCCUGAAAACUGGGCCCAGUUCGGACUGUAGGCUGCAACCCGCCUACACGAAGCCGGAAUCGCUAGUAAUGGCGCAUCAGCUACGGCGCCGUGAAUACGUUCCCGGGUCUUGUACACACCGCCCGUCACAUCAUGGAAGCCGGUCGCACCCGAAGUAUCUGAAGCCAACCGCAAGGAGGCAGGGUCCUAAGGUGAGACUGGUAACUGGGAUG